GACAGGCUGUAGGUCAGUGGUAGAGCAUCUGCUUUGCAUGCAAAAGGUCCCAGGUUCAAUCCCCAACAACCCCAGGUAGUGUU